GGCUGGUCCGAUGGUAGUGGGUUAUCAGAACUUAUUAACGUUAGUGUCCCUAAAGUUGGUACACAACCCCCCCACUGCUAAAUUUGACUGGCUUAAA
rnacentral:Y_RNA from 1 species